UACGUAGGGGGCAAGCGUUGUUCGGAUUUACUGGGCGUAAAGGGCGCGUAGGCGGUAGCACAAGUCAGUUGUGAAAUCUCCGGGCUUAACUCGGAAAGGUCAACUGAUACUGUGCGACUAGAGUGCAGAAGGGGCAACUGGAAUUCUCGGUGUAGCGGUGAAAUGCGUAGAUAUCGAGAGGAACACCUGCGGCGAAGGCGGGUUGCUGGGCUGACACUGACGCUGAGGCGCGAAAGCCAGGGGAGCGAACGGG
rnacentral:rRNA from 1 species